rnacentral:tRNA from 2 species
GUCCACGUAGCUCAGCAGGAUAGAGCACAGGAUUCCUAAGACAAAUUGGGGGUUGCGCCCGGAAACGACGCAAUCGAUCUGCUCAAAGUCGGGGAAAGCUUCGCUGGUCUUCCAGCAUGCCAAUCCCGAGCCAAGCUCCGGAGAAAUCCGGUGAAGGUGUAGAGACUGGAUGGGCAGCACCUAAAGGCCUCGAUGGCCCAUGGUGAAGGGACAGUCCAGACCACGAACGUCUUGCCCGGCAACGGCGGGACGGCGGCGAAAGCCGAAGCGGUAUGAAUCCUGGGGUCGGAGGUUCGAAUCCUCUCGUGGACGCCA